AUGGAAUCGAGCGAUAAGACUGCAGCAGCUGCUGGGCGCACGACAGGGAUGAAGCCAGCGACAUCAACAGCUGACUUGGGUACGAUUCCCUUAACAUACCAACUUGGGGACGAACUCCGCCGCACCUACAUCAGUCCUAGCCGGCGUCAAGCUGCCACACGGACGCGGAGUGGAGGACCGGGACCCCAGAUGGCCACGACAUGGUCCUUUAGCCCUGCUUCACUGGGGCGUGGUCUUUCAGCGUCGAGCAGCCUCAGCUGGGAGGCAUUGAGGGGCGCGUGGCUCUGGUGUUGCGCGUCGGCGGCGGCAGCCGGCAUCGGCAGUAAGCUCGUGAAGCGCCGGCAAGGACGUCUCAUCAUCGAUGAUGCUGUCCAUUGCCAGAGUAAACCGGGUUUGUCGGACGCAGGCUCGUGCAGAAGCUUCUAUCAGCGGGUAGCAACUAGCAAGCAGUUAAUUGGAGUUUAA
rnacentral:rRNA from 1 species